UAGUCCAUAGCAAUGAUAGGGCGACGUUGUGGCUAAGGCGGUAGCUGACAGGCUGAGUGGUGUGUCAAUCAAACUGCUGACUGCAGCAUUAGCACAAACGUUAGCGUCUGAAAUUGUAAGCGCAGUUAUUUUGACGCUGGGAAGGUAUGCAGUGUGCUGAAAAAAGAUGUUUUUGGCUGAGACCGGCGGGUGGAGAUUCUUAACCAGCAUUCUGGAAUUUGGUUUAUAACGGCUUUUCUGUCGGACGUGAUGGUGAAUCUGAUGGGAAACAACACAGUGCACAGCUAGCAGCAGGACGUGUGAACAGCAGGUGGAAGAAAACGCAGGCUGAUGGCUGCAGGAGACCAUGGCAUGAAGGAGACAAGGUAAAACAACUGUCAGGUUUUGAUGAAAAUGCCAGGCCGCCGUUGUGACGAACACCUCACACAGCAGCUGACUAGAGCAGGAGAUGGAGGAGCACCCAGAUGUGCACUGCAGGAGCCCCCGCCCCACGACUACUCUUCAAACCACCACCACCUUCAGCAUGAAGCGACCUGCUGCUCCAUCAGCACUCUUCCCAAUACCAUGUGUUAAAAAAUAAUGGAGAUGAUGGGAGCUGAGCUCCGUACGGUGGGGCAGAGGAACAGUGAGACCAUCACCCCCUGAAUCUUCAUCCCCCCCCGGCCUCUGACAGGUUUUUAC